AUUGAACGCUGGCGGCAGGCCUAACACAUGCAAGUCGGGCGAGCCGCGGACGGGUGAGUAAUGUAUGGGAAUCUGCCUGAUGGAGGGGGAUAACUACUGGAAACGGUAGCUAAUACCGCAUACCAUCAGAUGAACCCAUAUGGGAUUAGCUAGUAGGUGGGGUAACGGCGCACCUAGGCGACGAUCCCUAGCUGGUCUGAGAGGAUGAUCAGCCACACUGGGACUGAGACACGGCCCAGAUGCCUACGGGAGGCAGCAGUGGGGAAUAUUGCACAAUGGGCGCAAGCCUGAUGCAGCCAUGCCGCGUGUAUGAAGAAGGCCUUCGGGUUGUAAAGUACUUUCAGUCGGGAGGCGUUACCGACAGAAGAAGCACCGGCUAACUCCGUGCCAGCAGCCGCGGUAAUUC
rnacentral:rRNA from 1 species